rnacentral:rRNA from 1 species
AACGAACGCUGGCGGCAGGCCUAACACAUGCAAGUCGAGCGCCUGUAGCAAUACAGGAGCGGCAGACGGGAGAGUAACACGUGGGAACGUACCCUUCAGUUCGGAACAACCAAGGGAAACUUUGGUCUAAUACCGAAUACGUCCGUAAGGAGAAGAUUUAUCGCUGAAGGAUCGGCCCGCGUCUGAUUAGCUAGUUGGUGAGGUAACGGCUCACCAAGGCGACGAUCAGUAGCUGGUC